rnacentral:rRNA from 1 species
AUGGGGUCCUUUAUUCGGCCGGAGGUCUUCUGUGCUGCAGCUAGACUUGCUCAAGAGAUCCGUCUUGCGAUUGGUACGGCAAGCAUGGCCUAUCUUUACCAAAGUCUUGAUAAUGUUUGUCAAGAGAUUAUAGCCGGAUCAAAGUCAGCAAGUGAGUGCCAACUGCCAUUACCUGCACAUUUUAUUAUGGGCUGGUUCUCCUCUUAUUGGAAAAUGACACCUUCACAACCAGCGGUGAAUCCAAAAAUUACUCACUUCCCGCCGUUCGUGACGGACGCAUGGAGAAUCACAUCUACAGUAAUUGAUCUGUUCAAAGCCCAUCAGUUGUUCCUUGACUCAGCUGCAGAUAGCAAAUCUCUGCUUUCCUUAUCUUUCUUGGGGAAAUCUCGCAUACGUUUCCCUCAUUGUGGUGUGGGUGCUGUUACACAUACUCAAUGUCAACUCCAUCACAACUUGGUAUAUUCCCCUCAUCGUUUUGCUCGGAUGCAUGGGUGUGAUCAAGAUGUCCCUGACUUCCUGAUGGAAGGACCCAAUGGAGAAUAUCUUCUGCAGUUUUCUAGUUAUUUGAAGGGCACCCGUGAGGAAACAAUUGAGCACCUUCAGCGACGACACCUGGCUUACUACUUUCCAACCGGUCAUCAGCUUCAUUUACAGCCCUUGUCACGGCGAACCAAGCGCUCUAUUGAGUAUGUGACGUGGUGUACAUCAGCACUUGGUUUCCUCACUAAAGCUGAUAUGAUCUGUUCAGGUCAAGAACCAUCAUCUGCUCUCCAGAAAGGGGAGAUUGAAAUACCUUCUAACACAGAUCCAGAAGAAAAAUUCAACAAAGAUGAAUCUUGCCUCCACUAG